rnacentral:rRNA from 1 species
CACGCACGGGGCGAAAGCCAGCGAGCGAGAGGGAGGCCCCGGCGACGCCAGAACACGGGAAACCGCCCAAGGAAGGGGAAACCCGGGAAACGGGGAAAACCCAAGGACAGAGCGGAAGCCGAACCAAAGCCGGCGCCAGGAAGACGCGGCCGAAGGGGGGGGAACGGCCCAACAAGCCAGAACGGACGGGGGGGAGCAAGAGCCCGGAGGGACGAGACACGAACCAGGCCCACGGGGCGCAGCAGGCGCGAAAACACAAGCGGGCAACCGGAAAGGGAACCCGAGGCCGAAGCAGGCGGCCAGGGCAAAAC